CAACAUCAACAAAACGCCAGCUGCCCCUCACCCGGUUCAAUGUCAGGAGAAAAUCUUUUAUCAAGAACGACAAAGUGACUUUAAUACAACAAUACGUUUUUUUCUCAUGAAUCCUGCUUUCACCACUUAAUUCUCAUACAGAUGAUGAAAGAUUUUAUUUCCACAUCAACAGUAGGGCAAACAUAUCAAAAACCAGGACCGAGUAAAUAGUAGCAGAACUCCACUGUUCCUUCAAGACCAAACAAAUGUUUUACCUAAGAUAAGACAAUCCUUUAAAACCUAGUAAAACCAGAGGUAACUUGACGAGAACUAGUAAUUUUUCCCGCAGUGUAUCAAACUCCCAGCUCCCAAGAAAAGCCCG
rnacentral:lncRNA from 1 species